AUUGAGGUCUAUCCCGAUGGGGUUUUGCAGUAUGCCCUCGUCGUUGGAAAUGCCUCAGAGAUAAAGCUUGCAGUUAGCUUUGCCUGCUAACUCUGAUUAGUAGGUUAUUGACUGCAUAACACAC